AUUGAACGCUGGCGGCAGGCCUAACACAUGCAAGUCGAACGAGUGGCGGACGGGUGAGUAAUGUGUGGGAAACAGCCCGAUGGAGGGGGAUAACUACUGGAAACGGUAGCUAAUACCGCAUACCAUCGGAUGUGCCAAGAUGGGAUGAGCUAGUAGGUUGGGUAAUGGCUCACCUAGGCGACGAUCCCUAGCUGGUCUGAGAGGAUGACCGGCCACACUGGAACUGAGACACGGUCCAGAAUCCGACGGAAGGCAGCAGUGGGGAAUAUUGCACAAUGGGCGCAAGCCUGAUGCAGCCAUGCCGCGUGUAUGAAGAAGGCCUUCGGGUUGUAAAGUACUUUCAGCGAGGAGGCGUUACUCGCAGAAGAAGCACCGGCUAACUCCGUGCCAGCAGCCGCGGUAAUAC
rnacentral:rRNA from 1 species